rnacentral:rRNA from 1 species
UACGUAUGGGGCAAGCGUUAUCCGGAUUUACUGGGUGUAAAGGGAGCGCAGGCGGCCUGGCAAGCCUGAUGUGAAAUACCGGGGCCCAACCCCGGGGCUGCAUUGGGAACUGCUAGGCUGGAGUGCCGGAGAGGCAGGCGGAAUUCCUAGUGUAGCGGUGAAAUGCGUAGAUAUUAGGAGGAACACCAGUGGCGAAGGCGGCCUGCUGGACGGUGACUGACGCUGAGGCUCGAAAGCGUGGGGAGCAAACAGG